UUACAUACAAGUAUUCAAAAGUAAACAUAAUUUAUAGCAUGGUAAAAUGUCCUAACCAUACUAAAAGAUGUAAAGUGAUACCAAGUUUCUCUCCUGCCCCAGGCUCCAUUCUCCUAUAAAGGUGACUGAUCAUGGUGACUGUCCUUUCAUCUCCCCCGGGAAGGUGUGCACACACAUGAGCGUGUGCAUGCACACAUGUGUGUAAAUGCAGCAGCCACACCAUGGGGCUGCAGUUGCUUUUAGUGCAGAAGAAGGCCUCCUGUCCAACAUGGCUGACUCUGGACUACUGACCCAGAGGCCAGUUAAAGCAGAGCGUCACAGCAAGUGGAUGUUUGUCAUUCAAUUCUGUCCUAUCAUCUCCUUUCCUUUGAAUAGCAAAUAUCCACUAGGACCCUUAAGACAGCUUACUCUUCCUCCCACAACCUUGAAGCCAAGUUCAACAAGCUUAGCCCUGGCUUGACCUAGCUCCUGUCCUUACUCCUGUUCACGUCCCAUCUUGAUGUGAAGGGACUCCACAAGGGGAAAAGCCUCCUAGCUGCGUGCUUCUUCUAGAUCUCCUUCCCAGGAGAUCGGCACCAUGUAAAUUAGAAAUAAUUUACAAAAACAUAUUUUCAAAGACAAAUACCCCAAACUGGAGGUUUGCUUAACUUUGUUGGGGCAGACAGUUGGAGGUUAAUUCUCUGGUGUCCGGCUUCUUUUUUUAAUAAAAAAUUUUCCCACUGUU